GACGAACGCUGGCGGCGUGCUUAACACAUGCAAGUCGAACGAUGAACCAGGGCUUGCCCUGGGGAUUAGUGGCGAACGGUGAGUAACACGUGGGCAACCUGCCCCAGACACCGGGAUAACCUCUCGAAAGAGUGGCUAAUACCGGAUAUGACCACUUCGGGCAUCCGACGGUGGUGGAAAGGAUUCUGGUCUGGGAUGGGCCCGCGGCCUAUCAGCUAGUUGGUGGGGUAAUGGCCUACCAAGGCGACGACGGGUAGCCGGCCUGAGAGGGCGACCGGCCACACUGGACUGAGACACGGCCCAGACUCCUACGGGAGGCAGCAGUGGGGAAGUAUUGCGCAAUGGGCGAAAGCCUGACGCAGCGACGCCGCGUGAGGGACGAAGGUCUUCGGAUUGUAAACCUCUUUCAGCAGGGACGAAGCGAAAGUGACUGUACCUGCAGAAGAAGCACCGGCUAACUACGUGCCAGCAGCCGCGGUAAU
rnacentral:rRNA from 1 species